rnacentral:tRNA from 1 species
GUUUUUAGUUGUUAACUAAAGGUUUACGGGAUCGAGGCCCGUCGAUCUAG